AUUUAAGUAGCAAAGUAUAAUGCCAUAGAUUUAGGUUCUAUUAUCAAAGAUAUAUCUUUCUUAAAUU
rnacentral:tRNA from 3 species